GAUGAACGCUGGCGGCGUGCCUAAUACAUGCAAGUCGAGCGAACAGACGAGGAGCUUGCUCCUCUGACGUUAGCGGCGGACGGGUGAGUAACACGUGGAUAACCUACCUAUAAGACUGGGAUAACUUCGGGAAACCGGAGCUAAUACCGGAUAAUAUAUUGAACCGCAUGGUUCAAUAGUGAAAGACGGUUUUGCUGUCACUUAUAGAUGGAUCCGCGCCGCAUUAGCUAGUUGGUAAGGUAACGGCUUACCAAGGCAACGAUGCGUAGCCGACCUGAGAGGGUGAUCGGCCACCCCGGAACUGAGACACGGUCCAGACUCCUACGGGAGGCAGCAGUAGGGAAUCUUCCGCAAUGGGCGAAAGCUUGACGGAGCAACGCCGCGUGAGUGAUGAAGGUCUUCGGAUCGUAAAACUCUGUUAUUAGGGAAGAACAAAUGUGUAAGUAACUAUGCACGUCUUGACGGUACCUAAUCAGAAAGCCACGGCUAACUACGUG
rnacentral:rRNA from 1 species